UGUGUGUGUGUGUGUGUGUGUGUGUGUGUGUGAAGAAUGACCGUGUCCUCUUGAUGAGUCCAGGCAGCUGACGCUCGGAAGCGCCCUGUGGAAAUGUCAGCUGUAAUUAGCGCUUGUUAAGCAAAUGGCAGGGUUAAUGACCUCGUCGUCUCCCUGCCCACAGCCACGGUCUGUUGACUGUUGACUGACUGCGACCGAACCGGCAUUAAACAUUUAUUAUUCAAUUUGACCGCUACGUCCAAGGUGUUGAUGAGCACUCCUGGCUGCUGCAAAUUUCGGGGGGAAUUAUGGGACAUUAUAACGGCUAAUUGUUCAGCUCGGUGCGUAUUUUUAGCCGUCCUGUCAAACAUCAGGACACUUUCGGGGGAAAGAGACCGAAGGACAAAAGAGCUCCCAUCCGUCAGGAGGCAGGAACGGCUCUCCCAUGCAGAAGGCCUCGGUCUGCGGCUGAAAUAUUGAUCACAGCGGCUCAUGGAAGAGCUGCCACCCAAAGCCCGUGACAGCGCUCGGGUCACUCUGACAAAGACAGAGGCUUGCUCGAGUUUCAAAUGUGGCCUGAUUCAAAUAUUCCCUUUUUCUUCUUCAAAAACGCAUAAAGUGCUGAUAAAUGGUUUGAAGAGAGAGGCACUAAAAGGAUGAAACUCCAGAGAAGAGACCAAACGAGGCGAGUGCGGUAUCAGGCGUCGACGGGGAAUGCAAACAAGUGGCCAUCUCACUCUCCACCAUCUGUGCUCUGAAGACAGCUUUGCAGUGGCCACAAGCAUUCUUCAAAC